UGAAACAAAUUGGUUGAAAAAAAAGGUCAAUGUAAACAUAAGCAUGUGACCUCUGUCACUCCUGGGGGUGCUCAAUCAUAGUUCAGGGGGGAUUCGUGUAAAGUUUUAAAAUGCAGACAAAUCC